AAAAAACAACAAAUAAAAAACCUCAAAACAAUGACAACCCCCCCCCCCCGCCAAACAACAAGAAAGGGAGAAGGUGUGUAUAAACCACAAACAAUUUUUUAAAAAAAAUUUAUGGACAGAAUUCAUGUUUAAUUACAUAAUUAAAUACCUGUUUUCUCCUUGCAGCCUUCGGGGAGCGUGCACAUGGUGGGCCUCGAACACCAAACUGUUCUCGGGAGGAUGGGCGUGACCUCAAAAUCAUCAGCGAGGAGCCCUGCUGAUGGCCGCACACCGAGAGCCAAGCCGAGCUGAGAGCCCAAGCGACAGACGCCUCCCUUGCAUCCUGCACCCUCCCUCUCUCCCGGGUUGCUAUGCAUGUGAUUUGUUAGCCCACGAAGCAAAGGAGAGGAGGUGUGGGAGAGAGUUUAGUAGAAAACCCUUGUUUCUUCGCUUUUGCCCUUUAGUUCAGCUUGUGCAUUGCUUUAUUUAGUUGGAAUAAAAUCAGCAUUGAAUUCAG